UACGGGGGGGGCAAGCGUUGUUCGGAAUUACUGGGCGUAAAGGGCUCGUAGGUGGCCAACUAAGUCAGACGUGAAAUCCCUCGGCUUAACCGGGGAACUGCGUCUGAUACUGGAUGGCUUGAGUUCGGGAGAGGGAUGCGGAAUUCCAGGUGUAGCGGUGAAAUGCGUAGAUAUCUGGAGGAACACCGGUGGCGAAGGCGGCAUCCUGGACCGACACUGACACUGAGGAGCGAAAGCCAGGGGAGCAAAGCGGGG
rnacentral:rRNA from 1 species